rnacentral:rRNA from 1 species
UACGAAGGGGGCUAGCGUUGUUCGGAAUUACUGGGCGUAAAGGGCGCGUAGGCGGUUUAUCAAGUGAGAUGUGAAAUCCCCGGGCUUAACCUGGGAACUGCAUCUUAAACUGAUGAGCUGGAGUACUGUAGAGGACAGUGGAAUUUCCGGUGUAGUGGUGGAAUGCGUAGAUAUCGGGAGGAACACCAGUGGCGAAGGCGGUUGCCUGGGGCUUUGCUGACGCUGAUGCGCGAAAGCGUGGGGAGCGAUCCGG